rnacentral:rRNA from 1 species
ACGGGGGGCGCAAGCGUUAUUCGGAAUUAUUGGGCGUAAAGGGCGCGCAGGCGGUCUUGUCCGUCAGGUGUGAAAGCUCGGGGCUCAACCCCGGAAGUGCACUUGAAACAGCAAGACUUGAAUACGGGAGAGGAAAGCGGAAUUCCUGGUGUAGAGGUGAAAUUCGUAGAUAUCAGGAGGAACACCGAUGGCGAAGGCAGCUUUCUGGACCGAUAUUGACGCUGAGGCGCGAAGGCGUGGGUAGCAAACGG